CCUCCAAUGCCAGCAGACAAGGCUAGGCGCAUGAUAUAAGGCUGCUUCCAUGUUGUUGUUAAGCACUCUAUGUACUCUGGUGCUUCAGCUUUGUGAACCGCUCCCUCCCCCAUGUUUGAGGUAAAACGAAGAUCGAAGAUUUUCUUAAAA